rnacentral:rRNA from 1 species
CUUACACAUGCAAGUCGAACGGGCAGCGCGGGAGCAAUCCUGGCGGCGAGUGGCGAACGGGUGAGUAAUACAUCGGAACGUGCCCAAUCGUGGGGGAUAACGCAGCGAAAGCUGUGCUAAUACCGCAUACGAUCUACGGAUGAAAGCAGGGGAUCGCAAGACCUUGCGCGAAUGGAGCGGCCGAUGGCAGAUUAGGUAGUUGGUGAGGUAAAGGCUCACCAAGCCUUCGAUCUGUAGCUGGUCUGAGAGGACGACCAGCCACACUGGGACUGAGACACGGCCCAGACUCCUACGGGAGGCAGCAGUGGGGAAUUUUGGACAAUGGGCGAAAGCCUGAUCCAGCCAUGCCGCGUGCAGGAUGAAGGCCUUCGGGUUGUAAACUGCUUUUGUACGGAACGAAACGGUCUUUUCUAAUAAAGAAGGCUAAUGACGGUACCGUAAGAAUAAGCACCGGCUAACUACGUGCCAGCAGCCGCGGUAAUACGUAGGGUGCAAGCGUUAAUCGGAAUUACUGGGCGUAAAGCGUGCGCAGGCGGUGAUGUAAGACAGUAGUGAAAUCCCCGGGCUCAACCUGGGAACUGCAUCUGUGACUGCAUCGCUGGAGUACGGCAGAGGGGGAUGGAA